GGCAUGUUGUACGACACCUGCGAGCAGGGGUCCUAUUACUGCUCACACGGAAACCAGAGCUAAUGACCGAUGUUUGUUAUGCUACAAGUAGCAGUAUGCCUGCUGAACGCAAGCGCUCAGUGAACAUGGACGAGAAAGACGUUUGCUCCUUCAGCAGCAAGGACAAGGACAAAGAACGAGACGGGGACCGGGACCGGGACCGGGACCGGAGGCCGGGAUCCGCCCGAGACAAAGUGAAGGAUGAGGCCAAGAUGAGCGGAAAAAAAGACAGCGGGAAGGAGGAGAAGAGGAAGCGCCUUGAGGAGGAAAAGAAGAAGAAAGAGGAAAAGGAUCGCAGGAAGAAGGAGGAGGAGAAACUGAAAGCAGAGGAGGAACUGAAGAAGAAAGAGGAGGAGGAGAAGAAACAGCAGGAGGAAGAGGAGAAGAGGAUACAAGAGGAGGAGGAGAAAAGACAGCGGGAGGAGGAGGCGGCGCUCCUGAAAGAAAAGGAGGAGGGGCACCAGCUGCACCAGGAGGCCUGGGAGCGCCAUCACUGCAGGAAAGAACUCCGCAGCAAGAACCAGAACGCCCACGAGGGUCGACCUGAGGAGGCCUUCUUCAGCCGCCUGGACUCCAGCCUGAAGAAGAACACGGCCUUCGUCAAGAAGCUGCGCACGCUCACCGAGCAGCAGCGAGACUCGCUCUCCAACGACUUCAACUCCUUGAACCUCAGCAAGUACAUCGGCGAGGCCGUGAGCUCCGUCGUGGAGGCCAAGCUGAAGAUCUCUGACGUGGGCUGUGCCGUUCACCUCUGCUCCCUCUUCCACCAGCGCUACGCCGAGUUCGCUCCGUUGCUCCUGCAGGCCUGGAAGAAGCACUUCGAGGCCAGGAAGGAGGACAAGUCGCCCAACGUGAGCAAGCUGCGCACGGACCUGCGCUUCAUCGCCGAGCUCACCAUCGUCGGCCUCUUCACGGACAAAGAGGGUCUGUCUCUUAUGUACGAGCAGCUGAAGAACAUCAUCAGCACCGACCGCGACACGCACACCCACGUCUCUGUGGUCAUCAGCUUCUGUAAGCACUGCGGCGACGACAUCGCCGGUCUGAUUCCUCGUAAGGUGAAACUGGCGGCUGAGAAGUUCAGCCUCACCUUUCCUCCGAGCGAGAUCAUCAGCACAGAGAAGCAGCAGCCUUUCCAGAACCUUCUGAGGGAGUACUUCACCUCCCUCACCAAACACCUGAAGAAAGACCACCGAGAGCUGCAGAACACCGAGAGGCAGAACAGGCGUAUCCUACAUUCCAAAGGUGAGCUGAGCGAGGACCGACACAAGCAGUAUGAAGAGUUUGCCACCUCCUACCAGAAGCUGCUGGCUAACACUCAGUCUCUGGCUGAUCUGCUGGAUGAGAACAUGCCGGAUCUGCCUCAGGAUAAGACCGUGCAGGAGGAACACGGUCCCGGGAUUGAUAUAUUCACCCCCGGUAAGCCCGGAGAGUACGACCUGGAGGGAGGCAUCUGGGAGGACGAGGACGCUCGCAACUUCUACGAGAACCUGGUGGACCUGAAGGCCUUCGUCCCCGCCAUCCUCUUCAAGGACAACGAGAAGAGCAACCAGGGCAAAGACAAGGAGGACGCCAAAGGGGAGGGGAAGGACUCAGCCAGCACCACUGAGGAGCUGGAGCUGGAGCUGGAGGCUCUGGACAUCACGGACGAACCUCUGGAGCUAGAGGGACCGGACGAGGCGGAAAACGAAGAGCUGGCUAAGAAGUUGUUGGAUGAGCAAGAACAAGAAGACGAGGAGGCAAACACAGGGUCUCACCUGAAGCUCAUCGUUGACGCCUUCAUCCAGCAGCUCCCAAACUGUGUGAACAGAGACCUCAUAGACAAGGCUGCCAUGGACUUCUGCAUGAACAUGAACACCAAGUCCAAUAGGAGGAAGCUGGUCCGAGCCCUCUUCACCGUCCCCAGACAGAGGCUGGAUCUGCUGCCCUUCUACUCUCGCCUGGUGGCAACUCUUCACCCCUGCAUGUCUGACGUUGCUGAGGACCUCUGCUCCAUGCUGAAGGGAGACUUCAGGUUUCAUAUUCGUAAGAAGGACCAGAUCAACAUCGAGACCAAAAAUAAGACCGUGAGGUUCAUCGGGGAGUUGGCCAAGUUCAAGAUGUUCACAAAGACGGACACGCUUCACUGUCUCAAGAUGCUCCUGUCAGAUUUCACACAUCACCACAUCGAGAUGGCCUGCACUCUGCUGGAGACCUGUGGCCGCUUCCUCUUCAGAUCCCCUGACUCUCACCUGCGCACCAGCGUCUUACUGGAGCAAAUGAUGCGUAAGAAGCAGGCGCAGCAUCUUGAUGCCCGCUACGUCACCAUGGUGGAGAACGCCUACUACUAUUGCAACCCUCCGCCCGUGGAGAAGACGGUGAAGAAGAAGAGGCCUCCGCUGCAGGAGUACAUCCGCAAGCUGCUCUACAAAGACCUGUCCAAGGUGACCACGGAGAAGGUGCUGAGGCAGAUGAGGAAGCUGCCGUGGCAGGACCCCGAGGUGAAGGGUUACCUGAUCUGCUGCAUGGUCAACAUCUGGAACGUCAAGUACAACAGCAUCCACUGCGUCGCCAACCUGCUGGCCGGCCUCGUGGCCUACCAGGAGGACGUGGGCAUCCACGUGGUGGACGGGGUGCUGGAGGACAUCCGGCUGGGCAUGGAGGUCAAUCAGCCAAAGUUCAACCAGCGCCGCAUCAGCAGCGCCAAAUUCCUGGGCGAGCUCUACAACUACCGCAUGGUGGAGUCGGCCGUCAUCUUCCGCACCCUCUUCUCCUUCAUCUCCUUUGGGAUCAACCAGGACGGCACCCCGAGUCUGCUGGACCCUCCGGAGCACCUGUUCCGCAUCCGCCUGGUCUGCACCCUGCUGGACACCUGCGGGCAGUACUUCGACCGCGGCUCCAGCAAGAGGAAGCUCGACUGCUUCCUCAUAUACUUCCAGCGCUACAUCUGGUGGAAGAAGAGCAUCGACGUCUGGACCAAAGACCACCCGUUCCCCAUCGACAUCGACUACAUGAUCAGCGACACCCUGGAGCUCCUGCGGCCCAAGAUGAGGCUCAGCUGCUCCCUGGACGAGGCCACCAAGCAGGUCACGGAGCUGGAGAAAGAGGUGCUCAUCAAACUAGGCCUCGCCAUGGAGAAGGACGGCCGCUCCAGCGCCAUGAGCGAGGGCGACGGUCUGGACGAGGAGGACGACGACGCCGAUGACGACGAGGAGGGCGGCGCGGAGACCGAGGAGCAGUCGGGCAACGAGAGCGAGAUGAACGAGCAGGAGGAAGACGAAGGAUCCGAGAACGAAGAGUUGGAGAGAGAGGAAGAGGAAGAAGAGAACACCGACUACCUGACCGACUCCAACAAGGAGAACGAGACGGAUGAUGAGAACAACGAGGUCACCAUCCGAGGGGGAGGACUGAAGCACGUGGCCUGUGCUGAGGACGAGGACUUCAUUCAAGCUCUGGACAAGAUGAUGCUGGAGAACCUGCAGCAGCGCAGCGGCGAGACGGUGAAGGUUCACCAGCUGGACGUGGCGAUCCCGCUGCAGCUGAAGAGCCAGCUGAAGAAGGGGGGCUCCGGGCAGCCGUGCAUCGGGGAGGGAGACGCCAACGCCGACAUCUCGGACACCAUGCAGUUUGUCAUGCUGACACGCAAAGGCAACAAGCAGCAGUAUAAGAUCCUGAACGUGCCGCUGUCGUCUCACCUGGCUGCAAACCACUUCAACCAGCAGCAGGCCGAGCAGGAGGAGCGCAUGAGGAUGAAGAAACUCACUCUGGACAUCAACGAGAGGCAGGAGCAGGAGGACUAUCAGGAGAUGAUGCAGUCGCUGGCUCAGCGUCCGGCUCCGGCAAACACAAACCGUGAGCGCCGCCCUCGCUACCAGCACCCGAAAGGCGCUCCCAACGCCGACCUCAUCUUCAAGACCGGAGGAAGGUGAGACAAGAGCCGUGAAGCCCUGACGCGCUCUCUCUCUCACACACACAGAGCAGAGACGCUGAUUGGAGUCUGGGCGCAGGCUGAACGAGCGAGCGAGCAAGAGAGCGAAUGAUCGAGCAAAAACAGAGAGAGAAAGAGAAGAUCGGAGGGGACACCGGUCGACAAAACGGGACGAGUCCUCCAGACUCCAGCUGACAACCGGCACAGACCAAAACCCGCUGACCUGAACGCCCACUCUUAACGAGGCUGAAGGGGUCCCAAAUCCAAAGGUGGAGAGGCAGAACCAGGAGCUGGAGGUCAGAGGUCAGGGGUCACACACCAUGGCUCUCUUUCUGUUUUUUGUCUGUUGCCUGAGACGAUGACAGAGAUCACAAACUGUCUGGACCAGAGAACGAACUUCACAAUAAAGACGACUGAACUCCUGAGAGGUCGACUGACGGCGUGACAGACGGGAGGGGGCGGGACGAACGCACGCAGCGCCUCCUGCCCACCCAAAACACUGACUCAUAUUUAGGAGUGAAAAACCUGCAAGUGGACGAUACUUACUCAAGACUAGAGAGGAAUACUUUUUGUUUUUUGGACUCUUUGGAGAAAUACGGGGAACACGUUUGAUCGGACGAAGAUGAAGACGGCGAGGAGAGGAAGAGUUUCUGUACGUGAAUGAUGUGAUUGAAUGUCUGAUGAUGUGAUGGUCUUGUUCUGGAGGCUUGUGUUGCAUCAAAGCGGCGUCACUGGGAUAAACAAAGGAAUACAACCUGUAGCAGCUAGUUAGCUUAGCAUAAAACCAGCCUGUAUUUAAAGAUGGACGACGUACCUCCACCUCGAUAAACGCUCAAAAAAGGGGGCUGGAAUCUUGCACAUUUAGAUUCUGCACUGAAGGAGGCGGAGCUGCUAAAUUAAGCCCCGCCCCUUCCUCUAACCAGAACACACCCCUCGGGUGGGUCCGGUCCACACCAGAUCAAGUUCUCGUGUCGGUUUGAAGCAGACUCUCACGGUUUACAGAGAGUUCACUGACUCUUGUGUUAGUGUACGCUGCUGCUGGAGUCUCAUUGGUCGACAGAGCUGUCAAUCAUGAUGCCACGCCCCCUUUUUUAAAGCAUCUAAUCGCCGAUUUAAACCAAGCUACUAGCUAAGAGCUACUUAACGAAAGAAACAUGUAUUUAGUGUUAAAGUUAGGCGCAUCUGUUAACAUGGAGGAGGCGGGGCUUAUGAGCUACACUGCAGCCACCCAGCCACUAGAGGGAGCUCUAAAUGCUUUGGCUUCACUUUGAGGGGAGUUUUUACGUCGUGCACGUUUUCAUACAGCUGAUUUGUGCGAUUAAGGCUUUAAAUAUUUACUAAAUGACACAAAAAUAUCAUGUUUUCUGCUUUCCUCUGAAUGUUUGUCAGUUAGCUAAUCAUGUUAGCUCCUCUUAGAGAAUUAGCGUUAGGGGAAACAACUUUACCUGCUCUAACGAGUUAGCUAAGAUCAAUCCUGGAAGCUAAAACACACUCAUCAGCGCUAUCAACGCCUCUACUACCUUUAGAAUACAGAACACACACGUAGUGGGGGAAGCUGUGGAUGUUUUGGCUUCACUUUAAGGGACCUGUCGUGUUGUCCAUCUUUUUAUAUAUGCUAGUAAAAUCUAUGAUGGAGACCGGGACGUCAACGGUUUGAAUCCCUGCUCUUGUGCUUCGUUAAGUUCAAAGAUGAAACCUUUUCUUUCUUGUUUGUUUAAGAGGAAGUGUCGUGUUUUGACGAAGAGGUUUCAAAGUUAUUCGGCGAGUGUUUAUCAGCGUCUGACACGUGAAACGUUGACAUGUUUGAGGUGCAGGUUGGUGGAUUUGAGGACUCUGCAGAGCUUCAUGACAGCGAGGACCAUGAUUAUCAAACUGCUGCUGAAAAAGAAAGUGACACCUCUGAGUUACACACCCCUCCAAAAUAAGAGUCUCACAUCCUGUUAGCUUCUAAUCCAGCAGCCUGAUCACUGAAGGACACCUGAGUGUACAUAGAUCCACGUUUCUCCAGCUUUUACCUGCUCGUGUUUGUUUUAAUCCGAAGUCUGUCGAGCGGCUUUAUUCUCUUUGAUUUGAUUGGUGAAGUGUUUGUGGUUUUUGGACAAACAUAACCGUGUGCCUGAGAGACUUUAAUGAUUCUUUUCCAUGUGUCCGUCGAGCUUGUUCAGACGGAUCGAUAUAUUGGAUGUGUGAUCUGUUGCAUGGACCCCGUUCCUGCAGCGCUCUGUGUCGUAGUGAAGCGUCCAGUCUUUGCUCUGUGUGUAGAUCCAGGAGGAACCAGCUCACGGCUUUGUGUGUGUCGGCUCAUGAAGAUCACAAUAAAAGAUUUAAACGUA